rnacentral:rRNA from 1 species
UAACACAUGCAAGUCGAACGGUAGCACAGAGGAGCUUGCUCCUUGGGUGACGAGUGGCGGACGGGUGAGUAAUGUCUGGGGAUCUGCCCGAUGGAGGGGGAUAACUACUGGAAACGGUAGCUAAUACCGCAUAACGUCGCAAGACCAAAGUGGGGGACCUUCGGGCCUCACACCAUCGGAUGAACCCAGAUGGGAUUAGCUAGUAGGUGGGGUAACGGCUCACCUAGGCGACGAUCCCUAGCUGGUCUGAGAGGAUGACCAGCCACACUGGAACUGAGACACGGUCCAGACUCCUACGGGAGGCAGCAGUGGGGAAUAUUGCACAAUGGGCGCAAGCCUGAUGCAGCCAUGCCGCGUGUAUGAAGAAGGCCUUCGGGUUGUAAAGUACUUUCAGCGGGGAGGAAGGCGAUAAGGUUAAUAACCUUGUCGAUUGACGUUACCCGCAGAAGAAGCACCGGCUAACUCCGUGCCAGCAGCCGCGGUAAUACGGAGGGUGCAAGCGUUAAUCGGAAUUACUGGGCGUAAAGCGCACGCAGGCGGUCUGUCAAGUCGGAUGUGAAAUCCCCGGGCUUAACCUGGGAACUGCAUUCGAAACUGGCAGGCUAGAGUCUUGUAGAGGGGGGUAGAAUUCCAGGUGUAGCGGUGAAAUGCGUAGAGAUCUGGAGGAAUACCGGUGGCGAAGGCGGCCCCCUGGACAGAGACUGACGCUCAGGUGCGAAAGCGUGGGGAGCAAACAGGAUUAGAUACCCUGGUAGUCCACGCUGUAAACGAUGUCGACUUGGAGGUUGUGCCCUUGAGGCGUGGCUUCCGGAGCUAACGCGUUAAGUCGACCGCCUGGGGAGUACGGCCGCAAGGUUAAAACUCAAAUGAAUUGACGGGGGCCCGCACAAGCGGUGGAGCAUGUGGUUUAAUUCGAUGCAACGCGAAGAACCUUACCUGGCCUUGACAUCCAGAGAACUUAGCAGAGAUGCUUUGGUGCCUUCGGGAACUCUGAGACAGGUGCUGCAUGGCUGUCGUCAGCUCGUGUUGUGAAAUGUUGGGUUAAGUCCCGCAACGAGCGCAACCCUUAUCCUUUGUUGCCAGCGAUUCGGUCGGGAACUCAAAGGAGACUGCCGGUGAUAAACCGGAGGAAGGUGGGGAUGACGUCAAGUCAUCAUGGCCCUUACGGCCAGGGCUACACACGUGCUACAAUGGCGCAUACAAAGAGAAGCGACCUCGCGAGAGCAAGCGGACCUCAUAAAGUGCGUCGUAGUCCGGAUUGGAGUCUGCAACUCGACUCCAUGAAGUCGGAAUCGCUAGUAAUCGUAGAUCAGAAUGCUACGGUGAAUACGUUCCCGGGCCUUGUACACACCGCCCGUCACACCAUGGGAGUGGGUUGCAAAAGAAGUAGGUAGCUUAACCUUCGGGAGGGCGCUUACCACUUUGUGAUUCAUGACUGGGGUGAAGUCGUAACAAGAA